rnacentral:misc_RNA from 1 species
GAUGAAGAACGUAGCGAAAUGCGAUAAGUAGUGUGAAUUGCAGAAUUCAGUGAAUCAUCGAGUCUUUGAACGCACAUUGCGCCCCCUGGUAUUCCGGGGGGCAUGCCUGUCCGAGCGUCAUUGCUGCCCUCAAGCCCGGCUUGUGUGUUGGGUCUCGUCCCCCUUCCCGGGGGGACGGGCCCGAAAGGCAGCGGCGGCACCGCGUCCGGUCCUCGAGCGUAUGGGGCUUUGUCACCCGCUCUGUAGGCCCGGCCGGCGCUUGCCGAUCAACCAAAACUUUUUUCCAGGUUGACCUCGGAUCAGGUAGGGAUACCCGCUGAACUUAAGCAUAUCAAUAAAGCGGAGGA